CAAUACCUGGCUGGGACUAGAGGAGCAGGGAAGUGUGCUCCCCUCUGGCCAGAGAAACCUGGGGGCUAGCCAGGGUUAAUCUCUGGUAGCAUUUGUAUAGCUGGUUUUGCGGGGAGAGAGGCACCUGAGAAACCUGGCCAUGAGCUAAGAGUGAAGAUAAAGAGGCUGAGUGGAAUGAGGCUCAGGGAAGAAGUAACAAUUAAUUGAAGUGAGCAGUAUAUAGCUGCUGUGUAUAGAGUCCUUGAGCUGAAACUCAGAGUAGUGGGCCAGUGCAGGUUCCCUUGCUGGCCACCAACAAAGUGGCAUAAACAGUGAGCAGGGGACAAACUUAACCUAAGUCCCAAGAAGGUGACAGGGCUUAUUUGAAAGCCUGAGCAAAAUACUGAACUUAAAGGCUGAAGACUUUGGUGAGGGUAGAUAGACUUUAUUUUGUUGCACUCUUUGCUACCCUGGAACGGAUUCAUUUUGAUUGCAUGACCCAGAUGAGGACUGUGUCACUGAAGACCUGCCAAGUGAGGUCAACAACUUACAGGGCACCAGGAGAAGGACUGCACCAACAUGCAAGGAGGCACUCAAGAGUGAGCAAUGGGAUGGCUCCUAGUUCCUCCCCUCUCCUGCCCUGCAACACCUGGAAGGGCAAAGAAGACCAGGCUGCAGCCCACCAGACCUGGGAGAGGAAGUGAAGAACCCUCAGGAUCUGCAGGAGGAGCUGAUAUGAGAAGAGAUUGAACCAUGACCUGUUUGGAUGGCCGAGUUACAGGAAGAUAGAUCACCGCAGGGCCAGACUGGCUGUUUUCAGGAGGCACCAGAUGGGAAAAGCCUGCUAUGCCAUGCCCAGCCAUGAGGGUUUGCUCUAGCAGUAAGUCUACUCCUAUACAGAGUGUUUUCAAAUUAUUCACUCAAGUGUGCAUUACUUUGUAUUUGUCAACAUUGAACUUCAUCUGUUAUCAUGUUGGUUAGGUCCCUCUGAAAUUCCUCGAAGUUGUGACUAACCUAAAUAAUUUUGUGUCAUCUUCUAAUUUUGGCAUCUCAUUGUUUUUAUCCACUUUCCAGAUUAUUAAUGAAAAUAUUGUACAACACUGGCACCCUACUGUUCAUGUUAAAAUUGAUCAUUUAUUGCUCUGGCUUUUGUUUCCAGUUUCUGAUCUGUGAUAGUAAUCUGCCUCUCCCACCAUGACUAAGUUUCUUUAGUAGCUUUUGUGAGGUAUUUUGUCAAAGCCCAAAUAAAUUGUCAGCUAGUU